CCUCUUCUCUUUCGGUGGCCGCUCUCUCUCUUCUCUCUCGGUAGCCACUCUCUCUCUUCAUGCCCACCGAGCCUCUUUCUCUCUCCAUUGCAGACACUCUCCUCUUCUCUCUUCGUUUCUUCAUAAGGUAUGAAACAUGAAAGGAACUCAUCAAUCUUCUCUCUUCAUCCCCACGGAGCUUCGAAAUCUCUUCACUUUAAAAAUUUCUUUUGACUUUAAUUUAAGAAUGAUAUCUGGGUAUUGGUUUAAUUUUUAGUUUUUCUGUUUCAAAACCAAGAGAGCUUUGCAAGGAUUAAAUUUCACUUUGAAGGUAACGGUUAAUUAACCAUAUACUCGCUUCUGUUUUCUGCAAGUAACUCUCUCUCUCUCUCUCUCUCUCAGGGAAGACAUUGUUGUUCACUACUAUUCUUACUUGUUAAUUGCUUACAUUGACGACAGAACCAUAUAUUUCAUUCUCUUGUUGCUUGUCACCAUUCUCCUUGUAUUGAUUUUUUUGUUUUUGUUUGGGUAAUUGCAGGUUUAUAUUUUUUAUUUGGUUCUUCGAGCUCUAGACACACGUAUCUAUUUUCUUGGGUCUUAUGCUUUCUAAAUGCUUUACUGUUGAUUGUGUUUGAAAGAUUCAAUUUGGCUUGUUUGAGCUUAAGAUUCAAUUAGCCUUGGGCAUGUGGUGUUGUUUGUUAGGCAAAAUGUCAGCAUAAAGUUUACUGAAAUUUCAAAUUAAUUGAACUUGAUUAGACACCAGGUGAAAAUGAUUUUUAGCUUUAUGAACCUUAUUUGGUCCAUUAGCUUAAUAAGGCCAUUCUCUCAGGUUGGAUUUUUGUCUCUGUUUUCCCCGUUCUGUUCAGUUUUACUGGUCAUAUUGUUCUUGAUGCAUGUACAGAAUCAUUGUAUAUGAAAACUGAGUCUGUUUGAUCUUUGUCUUAUUUCUUGUGUGUUGAGUUGUAUCUUUAUUUGCAAUCAUGGUGUUUCAGAUGAAUUGUUAAGUCCUUCAAAUAUAGGUUCUUUUGUAGAGCAUUGUCCCAGACUUAUACUCAGGUUAAUAAUCCAAGGUAUGCUUUUGCCUUCUGCAGCUGCAUUUUUCAAUUAUAUUCUUAUGUAUAAUCAUAUGAUAUAUUCUCAAAAAAAUUGAAUAAAAAAGUGAUAAAUAUAUAUAUAUAUAUAUAUAUAUAUAUGUAUGUAUGCAUGUGAAUGCUAGUAGGUCAGAUUAUUCUAUGCAUCAUAUGUCAGAUUAAACUUUUUUCUCCUUUAUUAAUCUUAAUUCCUUCUAUAGAGAAUGUGAACUUAACAUAAAAGUUGAUUAUCUUUGAGUGAUUAUUUAGCUUAUUUGUCUUGCAUUAAUUUAAAGUUUCCAUCUUUCAUGGCUAGCUGGUACCCUUUCAUUAUUUAAAGUUCUCAUCUUUUAGAAUUGUUCUUAUAAAAUAGAGUAGUAGUGCUUGCCAUGAGCUUUAUAGUGGAGCUCCCAAGCUAGAUGUCACUCCAAAGUUUUUAAUGAUGGAUUCCUCUACUGGUAACCACAAAACUGAAAAGGGAGGAACCUCGACUUCAAGUGUUCCUGCUAGUGGGGAUAUGUUUGGACGAGUUGUAAAUGGUACUGGUGAGACUGAAGGCAAGCGGCUAGCGUUUUUAGUGGAGUGGUUAAAUAGUUUACUUCCUGAUUUAGGUUUACCAGAAACUGCUUCAUAUGAGGACUUGAGAUCAGUAUUGAUUGAUGGUACCAUUUUAUGUAGGCUAUUGAACAGGCUUAGACCUUGUUCUGUUGACAAGGUUGAUUUCCUAGUCUCCCCCUACAAGUUAUAUACCAGUUGGAUUGAAUGUCUGGUAUCUUUGUGAGAUUUUCCUUGUUCAUAAAUUCCCUCUUACUCAUUUUCUGGUUUAUAUUAUUGUGCAAGGAUCUAUGAAGACUGUUAUAGAUUGUCUUUUAACACUUAGAACACGACUUGGGUCAAGUGUUGCAGCAGAAGGUUUUUCUCUGUUUAGUCCAACUGGUGAUUAUGACAGCCCUCGAAGAGAUUUAUCUUCCCAUGGAUUUAGUUCUCCGUUAGCUGUAGAAGAGAGGCAAAAGGUCUUUGUCUGAGUCAAAAUAUCAACAUGCAUUGUGUAGUCUUGUUAUGUCAGUUGAUCUUUGACGCAACUUUACCUUCCACAGAGCCAUCAGCAGAAUUAAUGCAUCAUGUUGGACAUAAGUUCCAUGAGGUAUUUCAGAUAAGACAAAGGAUGCUACGCGGAUCUUCCUACUGCAAAGAUCUCAGAAAUGAUGAAAUCCAACAGUUUAGAUUAUCUCUUGUUGCAGAAGGCUCCGACUCAGUCCCUUUUAAGUGUUGUAAAUGGAAUUCUUGAUGAAAGCGUUGAAAGAAAUAAUAGUGAAAUACCUCAUCGUGUGGCUUGUCUACUCAGAAAAUAUUUGCCUUUGCUAAUUGAAGAUGCUAUUGGUACUACAAUAGCUUGGCCAUCUGACAAAGUUGUUAUUAUUUGAAAAUCUGCAGUCUAUUAUUGAAGAUGAUCAGCUCCCUCAAUUCAAUAGUCAUGCAGUAAAUUAGUUAUUAUGUUUUUCUACUUUGUUAAAUUUCAGUAAGUAGUCCAUAUUGGAUCCAAAGACACAACUUGUUGGUUGGACUAGGUUUUGAAUUUCUUGUAUGGUACAAAUUAAUUAUGUAUCAUUUUGAACCGUUGAAUGAAUUAUUAUUUUUAUGGCUGUCAUUAUUUG